GAGACAGCAGCAGCCGCGGUAAUACGUAGGUCCCGAGCGUUGUCCGGAUUUAUUGGGCGUAAAGCGAGCGCAGGCGGUUUGAUAAGUCUGAAGUUAAAGGCUGUGGCUCAACCAUAGUUCGCUUUGGAAACUGUCAAACUUGAGUGCAGAAGGGGAGAGUGGAAUUCCAUGUGUAGCGGUGAAAUGCGUAGAUAUAUGGAGGAACACCGGUGGCGAAAGCGGCUCUCUGGUCUGUAACUGACGCUGAGGCUCGAAAGCGUGGGGAGCGAACAGGAUUAGAUACCCCCGUAGUCCCUGUCUCUUAUACC
rnacentral:rRNA from 1 species